rnacentral:rRNA from 1 species
UACAGAGGUCUCAAGCGUUGUUCGGAUUCAUUGGGCGUAAAGGGUGCGCAGGUGGCGCGGCAAGUCGGAUGUGAAAUCCCGGGGCUCAACCCCGGAACUGCAUUCGAUACUGCCGUGCUAGAGUGCUGGAGAGGAGAUUGGAAUUUACGGUGUAGCAGUGAAAUGCGUAGAUAUCAGAAGGAACAUCAGUGGCGAAGGCGGCUUUCUGGACCAAUACUGACGAUCAGGUGCGAAAGCGUGGGGAGCAAACAGG